rnacentral:rRNA from 1 species
AGUGAACGCUGGCGGUAGGCCUAACACAUGCAAGUCGAACGGCAGCACAGUAAGAGCUUGCUCUUACGGGUGGCGAGUGGCGGACGGGUGAGGAAUACAUCGGAAUCUACUUUUUCGUGGGUGAUAACGUAGGGACACUUACGCUAAUACCGCAUACGACCUACGGGUGAAAGCAGGGGAUCUUCGGACCUUGCGCGAUUGAAUGAGCCGAUGUCGGAUUAGCUAGUUGGCGGGGUAAAGGCCCACCAAGGCGACGAUGCGUAGCUGGUCUGAGGGGAUGGUCAGCCCCACUGGAAAUGAGACACGGUCCCGGACCCUGAGGGAGGGAGCAGUAGGGAAUAUUGCGCAAUGGGCGAAAGCCUGACGGCGCAAAGCCGGGUGGGUGAUAAAAGUCUUCGGGUCUUAAAACCCUGUUUUUAGGGAAGAAAAAAUGUGGAAUUAACUACGCACGUUUUGACGGUAACUAAUAAAAAAGCCACGGCUAACUACGUG